rnacentral:lncRNA from 1 species
AAAAUGCCAAAGUGCAGCUCGUUUUACAACUUACAUCUAUUGAAACUGCCAACAGAGCUCCACUGAUGGAGAGUCACACUCUUCCCAACAGCUUUUAGAGCUCAGUGAAACCAAAGCUGCGAAGAAGAUGUAAUAAAAGAAACUGAAGAGGAAGUGAAAGGGAAGAAGACUGUGUGAUUUUUGAGGAAGAAUCUACAUGCAGCUGAAGCCAGUUGGCUUCAUGGAGGGCGUACAAAAGGGAGCAAUGAAGAGAGUGGAUUUCCAGUCACACAAGAACGCAGUGCUUUAACAAUGGCAACAGAUAUCCUCAGCUUAAUGUUUUGUCGUAAUACAUGGAAAGUAAGAAACAGUCCAUUGAUACUGAGCACUUUAAUGAAUAAAAAAAAAAAAACGAAAAAAGGUUUCAUUCCAG